CCUACGGGUGGCAGCAGUGGGGGAUAUUGCACAAUGGGGGGAACCCUGAUGCAGCGACGCCGCGUGGGUGAAGGAGCGUUUAGGCGCGUAAAGCCCUAGCGGCAGGGAAGAAGGUGACGGUACCUGACCAAGAAGCCCCGGCUAACUACGUGCCAGCAGCCGCGGGAAUACGUAGGGGGCAAGCGUUAGCCGGAUUUACUGGGGGAAAAGGGGGCGCAGACGGCAAUGCAAGCCAGGAGUGAAAGCCCGGGGCCCAACCCCGGGACUGCUCUUGGAACUGCAUGGCGUGAGUACAGGAGGGGCAGGCGGAAUUCCUAGUGUAGCGGUGAAAUGCGUAGAUAUUAGGAGGAACACCGGUGGCGAAGGCGGCCUGCUGGACUGUGACUGACGUUGAGGCCCGAAGGCGUGGGGAGCAAACAGGAUUAGAUACCCCAGUAGUC
rnacentral:rRNA from 1 species